CUGCCAGUGAUAAACUGGAGGAAGGUGGGGAUGACGUCAAGUCAUCAUGGCCCUUACGAGUAGGGCUACACACGUGCUACAAUGGCAUAUACAAAGAGAAGCGACCUCGCGAGAGCAAGCGGACCUCAUAAAGUAUGUCGUAGUCCGGAUUGGAGUCUGCAACUCGACUCCAUGAAGUCGGAAUCGCUAGUAAUCGUAGAUCAGAAUGCUACGGUGAAUACGUUCCCGGGCCUUGUACACACCGCCCGUCACACCAUGGGAGUGGGUUGCAAAAGAAGUAGGUAGCUUAACCUUCGGGAGGGCGCUUACCACUUUGUGAUUCAUGACUGGGGUGAAGUCGUAACAAGGUAACCGUAGGGGAACCUGCGGUUGGAUCACCUCCUUA
rnacentral:rRNA from 2 species